CCUACGGGAGGCUGCAGUGGGGAAUAUUGGACAAUGGGCGCAAGCCUGAUCCAGCCAUGCCGCGUGAGUGAUGAAGGCCUUAGGGUCGUAAAGCUCUUUUGUGCGGGAAGCGGUACCGCAAGAAUAAGCCCCGGCUAACUUCGUGCCAGCAGCCGCGGUAAUACGAAGGGGGCUAGCGUUGCUCGGAAUCACUGGGCGUAAAGGGUGCGUAGGCGGGUUCUUAAGUUAGAGGUGAAAGCCUGGAGCUCAACUCCAGAACUGCCUUUAAUACUGGGAAUCUUGAGUUCGGAAGAGGUGAGUGGAACUGCGAGUGUAGAGGUGAAAUUCGUAGAUAUUCGCAAGAACACCAGUGGCGAAGGCGGCUCACUGGUCCGAACUGACGCUGAGGCACGAAAGCGUGAGGAGCAAACAGGAUUAGAUACCCUUGUAGUC
rnacentral:rRNA from 1 species